rnacentral:rRNA from 1 species
GUGGGGAAUCUUGCACAAUGGGCGAAAGCCUGAUGCAGCCAUGCCGCGUGAAUGAUGAAGGCCUUAGGGUUGUAAAAUUCUUUCGUCAGGGAUGAUAAUGACCGUACCUGAAGAAGAAGCCCCGGCUAACUUCGUGCCAGCAGCCGCGGUAAUACGAAGGGGGCUAGCGUUGUUCGGAAUUACUGGGCGUAAAGCGCACGUAGGCGGACUUUUAAGUCAGGUGUGAAAUCCCGGGGCUCAACCUCGGAACUGCAUUUGAAACUGGAAGUCUUGAGAUCAGGAGAGGUUAGCGGAAUACCGAGUGUAGAGGUGAAAUUCGUAGAUAUUCGGUGGAACACCAGUGGCGAAGGCGGCUAACUGGACUGAUACUGACGCUGAGGUGCGAAAGUGUGGGGAGCAAACAGGAUUAGAUACCCCAGUAGUCC